rnacentral:rRNA from 1 species
UGGGGAAUAUUGCACAAUGGGCGAAAGCCUGAUGCAGCGACGCCGCGUGAGGGAUGACGUCCUUCGGGUUGUAAACCCCUUUCAGUAGGUACGAAGCGCAAGUGACGGUACCUGCAGAAGAAGCACCGGCUAACUACGUGCCAGCAGCCGCGGUAAUACGUAGUGUGCGAGCGUUGUUCGGAAUUACUGGGCGUAGAGAGCUCGUAGGCGGAUUGUCACGUCGUCUGUGAAAUCCUAGGGCUUAACCCUGGACGUGCUGGGGAUACGAGAGGACUGGAGUACUGCAGGGGAGGCUGGAAUUUCUGGGGUAGCGGUGGAAUGCACAGAGAUCAGGAAGAACACCAAUAGCGAAGGCAGGUCUCUGGGUAGUAACUGAAGCUAAGGAGCGAAAGCAUGGGUAGCGAAGAGG